AUUCUGGGUCAUGCAGCUCUUCUCCUUUCUGAGGCAUCUAAGGGAUACGUCAAACCAUGGGUGUCUACACCAAGGGUUAGAAGGCCUUGGAGGGGGUCACUGUAACACCCGAGACCCUUUGUCAUCUUUGGCCAUUCCAUCCCUGUGACCAACCUUAGUGAACUCUCUUAACCAGUAGCAGGGGAGUCAGGCAGCCAGACAGCCAAUGUGGAAUUCACCAUGGCCCCAGCACUCCACUGCCACUGCCAUUUCUGCCUGCUGCUCUGAGCCCCUCCCAACCCAGAGCCUGUGGAGCAGGCACCACGGGGCUCUGGUGUGUCUGUUGCUCCAUGAUUUAUUUUUGUCUCCCUCCCAGAUUUCACGGACAGGGCUGUGCAGAGUGGCUGGUACCAUCUGGUACCACGUGGGGGCACUGAUACCUCACAGGAUCGGAAAUGUGCUGGAGAGCGCUUUUCAUUUUACUGUGAGAGCCAGCCACUCCUCCUGCGGCCAUCCCAAUCCUCCGUGAACCCUCCAUCGCCCGUGCCAGGUUCUUCUUCAGAAUCCUCAGCAGCCCUCUUGGUUUCCAUGACCCUGCAGCUUUUCCUUGAGUAAAACAAGUAAACCGGACCCUUUCCAAAGUGAUAUCUGAAGUUCCAGGAGACAAGCUUGGAGAAAGAAGGCCCCUAGAAUGGACGCCCUCUCUCCUCCCUCUCCAGGUCUUCCUUCUGUAAGAACCUAUAUCAGCUCCACUUCCAGUGUAUCUACUGCUACAGCAUCAUGUUCUUUCAUUGGUGGGCUGGUGUCCCACGUGUUCUGGCUGGGAAGAUUCAGUUUGUAGCCAACACUACUCAUGCUUUUUGCCAUCUCUUCACCAAGUACCCCUUUCCAAUGGACUCCAAAGCAACCAUCGUUUCUUCAUGUAUUUUGGCCUCAGCAUCCUUUUCUUCGGCUUCCACCAGCAGACAUCCCCAAGGGACCCUGGAAGAUGCCGAGAUAAAAAGUGGAACCAGGGACUGAUACUAACAGAGCUGUCCUCCUGGAGACCCUGGCAGAGGACAGCAUAGCUCUUAGCACUGGAACUGCAGUUGGUUGGAUGAACAAUGUCCUCCCUUCUAGACCUGAGGAGGGAUGAAAUGGAUUAUGUCUUCAUACCCACUUCUCACAUGGAUUUGUAACUAUUUGCUAACCUCCUGCUUCUACUAGACAUAGUCUUAUAAUGGAAGGGACUGUCACCUACCUCAUUUCAACAAAUGUGUCUCUAGGGCUCAGAUUCAGCAACUGGUGGUCAUGACCACUGGUAAAGGACAGGCCUGGGUGUGAAUGAAAUCAAGGAUGGCUGGCAAUCUGACUUGGAGUGGGAAAUUACUUGGUUUCUGAAGUAGUGCUGAACAGUUACCCCUUUCCCAACCCACCCCCUCCCCCCCCAUAGCUCUUGGCUUGCCACCCUCUAUAUGUGUAUCUCUGCAGUUGUAUGGUUCCAUGGUCUGUUAUUGGGGUGAGAGAAAUGGCUAUGUGCACGGAUGAGAACUGUUUUCUGUCAACAUGUGGAUCUCUCUGCUUUGUUCACUUGUCUCUUCUGUAAAUAUUCACAAAUAAAAUGAUCCAA
rnacentral:lncRNA from 1 species